rnacentral:rRNA from 1 species
GACGGGGGGUCCAAGCGUUGCUCGGAAUCAUUGGGCGUAAAGAGGGCGUAGGUGGCUUUGUAAGUCAGAAGUGAAAGCCCUGGGCUCAACCCAGGAAGUGCUUUUGAUACUGUGAAGCUUGAGUGUGGUAGAGGAUAGCGGAAUUCCUGGUGUAGUGGUGAAAUACGUAGAUAUCAGGAGGAACAUCUGUGGCGAAGGCGGCUAUCUGGACCAACACUGACACUGAGGCCCGAAAGCGUGGGGAUCAAACAGG